UUUGGGGUGGUUUUUGGGGUCCCCACCUGCGCUGCAGGCGCUGCCUCAGGGCUCCCAUCUCUGGCCUCAGCUUUGGGGUUCAGUUUUGGGGUUCAGUUUUGCGUUUCAGGGCUCAGUUUUGGGGCUGUUUUGGGAUUCAGUUUUGAGGUCUCACAGUUCAGUUUUGGGGCUCAGCUUCGGGGUUUUGGGGUUCAGUUUUCGGGUUCAGUUUCAGAAUGUUGGGGAUGGGUUUUGGAUUCAUUUUUGGGGUUUUGGGGCUCAGCUUUGGGGCUCAGGCACUCAGUUUUGGGGCUCAGCUUUGGGGCUCAUUUUUGGGGUUCAGUUUUGGGGUUUCGAGGCUCAUUUCGGGGCCCAUUUUUGGGACAUUUCGGGGCUUUUUGGGGUGGUUUUUGGGGUCCCCACCUGCGCUGCAGGCGCUGCCUCAGGGCUCCCAGCUCUGGCCUCAGCUUUGGGGUUCAGUUUUGGGGUUUUAGGGCUCAGUUUUGGGGUUUGGGGGCUCAGUUUUGGGGUUUGAGGGCUCAGUUUUGGGGCUCAGUUUUGGGGUUUUGGGGCUCAAUUUUGGGGUUCGCUUUUGGGGUUUCAGGGCUCAGUUUUCGGGCUGCUUUGGGGUUCUGAUUUGGGGUUUUGGGGCUCAGUUUUGGGGUUUUGGGGCUCUGUUUUUUGGUUUUGAGGAUGACUUUUGGGUUCAU
rnacentral:lncRNA from 1 species